UGUACACACUGCGAUGAUGGUGAUGAUGAUGCCUGCGAUCUUUAACAGCAGCAGCAACACCAACAAGACCAACAAGACCAACACUAACGCAAACAACAACAUUAACAUUUUUCAAUUCCUCUCUCUCUCACACACUCACUUUCUUUUUCUUCUUCAUCAGUUCACUCAUAACAAAACAUAACAUAACCCAACCAUGACCAAUCUCUACUCACCUGUCUAUCACAUCCCAUGCAAUCAUAGUGACAACCCAUGAUAUAAAAUUAGAAAACAAGAACCCAAAAAGAAAACUAAACAAAGUUAUGGAUAGCAAGUGUGGUUGCUGGGCUGUCUUAAAACGUGGAGUUAGAGGUUCUUGCAAGUCCUCUGCCUCUAGAGAUUCUGCUAACGCGAUCCCUCGUACUAGUCUUGUUUACGAUGCAGGAACUGGGAAAUGCAAGUUCUAUUUCAGUUUACAAGGUUAUCAUGCUACUGAAACAAGAUACCUAAAUGCAAGCAAUCGAGAGUUAUGUGCUCAUAAUGAAGCACAACUAUCUUCUGAUAAUCCUGAUCCACAAGAUAAGAAAUCUCCAUGCCAGUUGCUGCAGUUUACCUUUCAAGAACUAAAAUCAUCAACGGGGAAUUUUAGGCCUGAUAGCAUUCUUGGAGAGGGCGGAUUUGGAUAUGUGUUUAAAGGAUGGAUAGAGGAAAAUGGAACAGCACCAGCAAAACCUGGGUCGGGAAUCACAGUCGCGGUGAAGAGCUUAAAGCCAGAUGGUCUUCAAGGCCAUAGAGAAUGGGUGGCUGAAGUUGAUUUUCUUGGACAGCUUCACCAUCCUAAUCUCGUUAAGCUUAUUGGUUACUGCAUCGAGGAUGAUCAACGGCUUCUUGUUUAUGAAUUUAUGACGCGAGGGAGUCUUGAAAAUCAUCUUUUUAGAAGGACAAUACCUCUUCCAUGGUCCAACAGGAUUAAGAUUGCACUUGGGGCAGCAAAAGGAUUGGCCUUUCUCCAUGGUGGCCCUGAACCAGUUAUUUACAGAGAUUUUAAGACGUCAAACAUUUUGCUUGACUCGGAAUAUAAUGCUAAGCUUUCAGAUUUUGGUCUAGCAAAAGCUGGGCCUCAAGGGGACAAAACUCAUGUUUCUACAAGGGUUGUUGGGACAUACGGCUAUGCUGCUCCAGAGUAUGUGAUGACAGGACACCUGACAUCUAAGAGUGAUGUUUACAGCUUCGGAGUUGUGCUGCUUGAGAUUUUGACAGGCAGAAGAUCAAUGGACAAGAAGCGACCUAGUGGUGAACAGAAUCUAGUUGCAUGGGCACGACCUUAUUUAGCUGACAAGAGAAAGAUGUACCAGCUAGUGGAUCCCAGGUUGGAGCUGAAUUACUCCCUUAAAGCGGUCCAGAAAGUUUCUCAAUUGGCUUACAGCUGCCUCAGUAGGGAUUCAAAGUCCCGUCCUACAAUGGAUGAAGUUGUGAAAGUUCUCACUCCAUUGCAAGAUCUAAACGACCUUGCCAUUUUAUCUUAUCACUCUCGCUUGUCUCAACAAGGGAAGCGCAAGAAGAAAAGUGAAGGAGCGCAGCAGCACGCAAAUGUAUCUUCCAAAAGCAUCAGAGAUUCUCCCUUGAAUACUGGCAAGCAGCGUUAUAGAUGAGGGCAAUCGAUUCAAUCUCCUUGAUUGAUUCAAGUAUCAAGAAAAACAAAGCUCCUGCUUAGAGUUUACACCAAGCAUGGUCCAGAUUCAAAAGUUGAGGACUUCGUAUCAGUUCUUUAUAAUGGGUGCACUGUGCAGGCUCUGGCCGCGUUUGACCAUAGAAGCUUAGCAUCGUAGUCAUGUCCAAGACAAGCCACUGAUAUGUUUCCAGCAAAAUCAGCACUUAUGCUAUCAACAAAGAUACGAGGGGUGUGUAUAUAUAUAUAUAUAUAUAUAUAUAUAUAUAUAUAUGAGUUGAGCAUAAGAAUCUUUGAAAUAAGCACUUUAAAUAUCAGUUGCAUGCAUCUCAUAUUCAAACUAGAAUCUCAUUUUGCUUCAACCUACUCUCCAAGUUAUUCACAGUAAAGGUUUCUAAUGACAGAUGCAUCUCAUCAUGUAUGCAUUCACAUUAGAAUCAUAUUUUGCUUUAAUUUAUAAUGCCAAUCAUUUCUGAAAA